CGCCAGGCCGCCGGCUCUGAAUACAUGAGGAAGGAGAGCAGAGACUGGAGGAAAGGAUGCAGAGUUCACAUACUGCAAAUAAGAUCCCACAUGCUGCAAUAAAGACUGAAGAUUCUGCAUGCCAGAACUAAGACCUCGUGAAGCCAAAUAAAU